CGCUCGCUGCUCCAUCCCUCGCCCCCGCCGCUCGAGCGAGAACCACCGAGGCUCAACUCGACUCCCCUCGAUCUGUUUGCCCCAGCCGCCAUAGCAGAGCACUUCGCUGCCGCCAAGAUGCGAGGGGAGCCGCCGCCGCCGAGGUCCGAGAGGAGCCGCCGCGAUCCUCCUCUGCACACAUCACCGCCUGCGACGCUGCAUAACCACGGUCUCCACUGGCGCCGCGAUGGCUGUGCCCUCCACCCAUAUCCGUCCGCCAUUGGCCCUGUAUUGUCCCUCCCGAUGGGAUCCAGCCUCCACCACUGAGCACGGUGCGAUGGGAUCCACCACGGACGAGGGAAAGGCGCGCGCGGGCGUCGUGAUGUGGUCGUCACGUGGCGCGGCACGAUCCAGGCUCUGGAAUGGGUCGACGAUCUUGAGUUCGCCAUAGUGCCGUCCAGAGGCCCCCUUUGUGAGGCCGCCUGCGCAGACGCUUGGUGCACCGCGGCUGGAUCUCCAUCGCCACCAACAACAGGGACAACGCCAGAGACCAGGUAAUCUUGUGAAUACGAUGGCACUGUCAUGUACAUGGUGCACGACUCAGUGUUGAGCUCACUUGCAGCUGCAUGCUCAUGCAACCAUGGAUGUCAGGCACGGGAUGUGCUGGACAUUGUUCAGUGCCAGGAGGUGAGCAUCACCAUGACAAGGCAUAGCCUUGGGGCAGUGCUGAACGCAUUCGACAUCACUGAGAAUGACUACAGCUGCACGACCGCCGUAGCGCAUUCACUUUUGCCCUGUGCGGCGGCAGCACCGGCUCCAAGAAGCGGUUUAACGCUGCCACGGCCACCGGCCUCUGUGUUCUGUCGCGUCCGCAACGCUCGAGACAUUGUCCGCAACGUUGAUGAAGGUUUGUGGAGUCCUCCUAGAGUUUGAGAAAUUUUAAUGAGAAUUGGUUUGACAGAAACGGGAGGAGGGGCCAUUAGGACAAUUUUUACGUAGAAGAGAUCUCGGGCAGACUGGAACCUAUGGACCAAAACUAUGUGUGGUUUCCUGCUGAUAAAUGUGUUGAAAUAUGUGUGGUUUCUUACACAAAUGGAAGUUAUCAAGCAUGUUCUUUAUGCAACAAAAAUUUACUCCAUCUGUAAAGAUAUAUAAGAGCAUUUAGAUCACUACUUUAGUGAUAUAAAUGCUCUUAUAUUUGUUACGGAGGGAGUAGCAGAUAUAUUUGACUAGAUGUGCCAAACUGUUGUGUCAUCCACUUCACAAAUUAGAGGUCGAUAUGCAGUGGAAGCUUUUGCAGGUCAUUUUCAAACAGUGCUACUACUGUGAUGCAUAAAUUCAGUUCCACUUCUCAAGCUACUAGCCCUAGAAUGAGGCAGUGCAGCGAUGAUUAUCUAGCCCUCCAAGCUGGAUGCAGCAAGGUUACUCGUGAUCAAAACCGUUGAUGUCAGUUCAAAAACCGGUUCUGAUGCCAAUUGGCUUGAGGAAAUCAGCCAAGAUGCUUUGAAGAAAUUGCACGCUUUCUAUCAGUUCUGCAGACCACACACAAUCUUUGGCACUAGCUUUAACACUGGAUCUGUUUCGGAUCGGUGCCACUGACGUGUGCUUUAAUUAUCAGCUUCCUUCUUGGAAGUGUUCCAUUGAGGCUCCGAUGCUCCGGUGGGAACGACACACACUCCUCGCUGCAUCUUGUAUCCUAUUUGUGAGGGCUAUCGUGGUCCAAUUACCUUUCUUUGCACAUAUGCAGGCACUCGGCACAGUACACAUCUUCAGUAGCACUAGAAAUUCAUACUUAUUUACUUGGCUUCCUUCGUCAGUGUUUGAUGAUUCAUUUUGCAGCGACAUGUUCUGAAAAGGCCCUUGGCAGCAACAAAAUGACUGGUGUUUGCAACAUUGUCCAUGUGUUGGUUCUCUGCCGUCAUAGCUAUAUUCAACGUGUAUCAGCUUUGCAGUGGAGCAUGUUGUUCGCCGUGGGUCGAACUGAGGCCAAGACUGAUGAGUUGAAGGCGAGAACAAACUACUACUCUACCCAGCAACUUAUACAGGUCACCACAUUCGCUUCCCACAGCUGUGGAUGACGACAAGGAGGUGGUGGGUGACAUGGGCAAAUAGUGCUUGGAUGUCCAUGUUGCUUGUCUGCGUGUCUGCAUAGAGAAUUUUCUGUUGUUUGAUUUGGUUUUACUGGAACAAGGAGUGGCGCUGCCCAAGCUCCCCAUUACCCAUUGUAUUGAGUUAAUUGCCGUUGAGGUGCGGACUUGCCAUUUAUUGUGAUUUUAUCAUUCCUCCUUAUUUUAAAAUUUUGUUCCACAAGAUAGUUCUUGCUCAUAGAGAUGCUUUGCAUGGAUUGUUUAAAAAACAAAGAACGUGACAAGUUUGUGCUUUGAAAAUGGGAUACUAUGCUUAGUUCUAGCUUUAACAUUUGUGAUAUCCAAUUAUACUCCUAUGGCUUGUAUGCCGUGGCAAGAUGCCCACUUACUGCACCAAUUCUCAUUCGAAACAAUGCUCUUUUGUCUUUGGGACCAAUUUUAGUGGUGACUUAAUAACUGAUUUUGU